AGAGAAGAUGUGAUAGAGCUUCAGUGUCAUGGAAGUGAAGUGUGUCUUCAACGUGUUUUGAGGGCGUGUCUGGAGGCUGGAGCAAAGCUUGCGGAACCAGGUGAAUUCACUCUGCGCGCCUUCUUAAAUGGUCGUUUGGAUCUUUCUCAAGCUGAGAAUGUCGAAAAGUUAAUAUCAGCAAAGUCAGUGGCUGCUGCAGAUGCUGCAUUGGCAGGAAUAGAGGGUGGGUUUUCUUCUUUGGUCAAAUCACUAAGAACUCAGUGUAUGGAGUUGCUAACUGAAAUUGAAGCUCGUCUUGACUUCGAUGACGAGAUGCCACCCCUUGAUCUGAAUCUUAUUAUGGACAAAAUAUAUGGGAUGCUGCAUGAUCUGGAUAAUGCGCUGGAAACUGCCAACUAUGACAAGCUUCUGCAGUCAGGACUACAGAUUGCAAUUAUUG
rnacentral:misc_RNA from 1 species